AACGCAUAUUGCGCUCUCUGGUAUUCCGGAGAGCAUGCCUGUUUCAGCAUCAUUUGAACAUCUCAAAAUCAUAUAUUUUUUUUGAUUUUGGAAUUUGGGCUGCUUUGUUGUGUAGUUUCUACUCAACUAGCCUGAAAUCGGUAUUAUAAAUUAAUGCAAGAAAUAUGUGGAUGCUUUGUUGGUUAAGACGAAAAGCUAAUUAGUUGACUGUGGUCAAACUUUGCUGACUGGUCUUUCAUGACUUGGCAAAUCUACAUUCACAAAUUGAUCUGAAAUCAGGUAGGAUUACCCGCUGAACUUAA
rnacentral:misc_RNA from 1 species